rnacentral:rRNA from 1 species
CCUACGGGUGGCAGCAGUGAGGAAUAUUUGUCAAUGGACGAGAGUCUGAACCAGCCAAGUAGCGUGAAGGAUGACUGCCCUAUGGGUUGUAAACUUCUUUUAUAUGGGAAUAAAAUGUUCCACGUGUGGGAUUUUGUAUGUACCAUAUGAAUAAGGAUCGGCUAACUCCGUGCCAGCAGCCGCGGUAAUACGGAGGAUCCGAGCGUUAUCCGGAUUUAUUGGGUUUAAAGGGAGCGUAGGUGGAUUGUUAAGUCAGUUGUGAAAGUUUGCGGCUCAACCGGAAAAUUGCAGUUGAAACUGGCAGUCUUGAGUACAGUAGAGGUGGCCGGAAUUCGUGGUGUAGCGGUGAAAUGCUUAGAUAUCACGAAGAACUCCGAUUGCGAAGGCAGUUCACUGGACUGCAACUGACACUGAGGCUCGAAAGUGUGGGUAUCAAACAGGAUUAGAUACCCCGGUAGUC